GUCUGCUCAGCAUCCUGAUCCAAACAAGCCACUUUAAAAAGUGCAGUUAUGAAACAAUUCGAACACUGACUGGACUACUGUUUAUAUUUUUAGAUGUGAUACUGUGGUUAUGUUUCUCUAAAAGUCCUUGUCUGUUAGAGAUACACACUGAAGUGUUUACAGAGAGAAUGAUACAAUCGCUGUCUGGAAUCCGCUUCAAUACCAUCCAUUGUUGGAGGGUGGGUAGUGGGGUUAGGGGGUUUUGAGGAAACAAGAUUGGCCCGGUCUAUCAGCAUUGAUGCUGGGUGAGAUAGGUAAAUGGGGGUUCAUUAUACACUUUACUUUUGAAAAUGAAGUUUUUCGUAAUAAAAAGUUGAAAGAAAGAAGGAAGGGAGAUGGGAAGGCAGGGAAAGGAGAAAGGGAAGGAGAGAAGGAAAAGAUUCUGCUCAAAUGUCCCUUUGGAAACCUUCCUUGACCCCCGCGUUGGUGUGGGGCCGGGGGAAUGGGGAGGCUGUUUUCUGCUCAGCCAGAGCAACAAGGCCCAUGAGGAGACAGGAGGGAUGUCUGGGGAGCAGUCCCAAGCCACAGAGUCCUUCUGGGGACCAGCCACACCAUGAAGAGAGAGCAGAACAGGGAGCAUAGCACAGACCUAUGACAUAGCACUGUGCCAUGACAUCAGCUGGCAAAGGCCCAUGGGACCAGGAGGGAGGCAUUAGAAGGGCGAACACUAGCAGCUGUUGAGUAGGAAGAAAUGUGAGCCGACUUCUCUACCUAAGGAAGCGGUGGCAAGGCCGUGGAGGUUCGGGAUGGGGACGGGUUCCAGGAUUAGAGUGCUUUUUUUUUUCUUUCUUUCUUUUGAAGGAGGAGAGGCUAUGGGAGCCUCAGGUACCGAGCAUCUGGUGUCUGGAGAGAUGCAGCUACUCAAGGCAGUUUCUGAUCUGGAACCAGGAAGUCUCUGUUUCCCCACCAGCCAGCAAACGUUCUGGACUUGGUGCUGGGCCUGCCACCACCAAAGGUGGAGAUGCCCCACAUACCUGCGUCAGGCAUGACAGGUCACCCCUGAGUCCUUGGGUCUCCCCAAGGCUUCUCCAGGGCUUCCCAACAGGGCUGAGAUUCAAGAAAACGCUCAAGGUCCACCCCACUGCUCCGACCCUCUCACCAGAAGAAAAGGGCUGUGUCCCAAGGGCAGCCUGCUUGGGAAAAGAAUAUGUGGGGUGACUUGUCCAGAUCUGCCCAGGGAGGCUGGGAAUGGAGAGAGAAAGGAAUCUGCCCACCAGUUGGGGGAAAAGUGGAUUUCGCAACAACCUUGAUGAUAUUAAAUGCUUGGGGGGCCUGGGAAGACCAAAUGUUUAAUAUUUGGAGAAGAGGCUGUCUAAACAGAGUAAUUAGGAGGCUCCUUUGUAGUGAUAUGAAAGAGAUGAAUUGGGUAUAUUUGACAUCAAAGACAGGAGAUCCAGUGGGGAAUGAGACCCACGGCCGGGCGUGGGCAGCGCUGGAGGACAGGCUCUCCCAGUGUGCUGCGGGGGAGGGCAGCCCCUGCAGUGUGCGUGUUGAGUGCUGGGAAACCCCCAAGUAACACUUCCCCCCUCAUUUAACACACUUCCUAAAACCUCUCCUCCCCAAAAGCCACUUUGCAAAAGCAGCGAUUACCACCAACCACGAGAAACACAGGAGCCUGCCUUCCACUGUUUACCACUGGGCAGGAAGUCGUUUAUGGACCAGUCUCUUGCCCAGGCUAAACUCAGAAGUGGACACUGAGGGCCGGUUGUGGGUGCCACCAGGCAAGCUAGGGCAUCGGAGUUCAGCAGAGCUGGGUGGGAAUUCUGCUUCUCCCUCCACUACCUGGGUAACCCUGGGCAAGUCACUUAGCCUCUCCGAGCAUAAACUGGUUUGCUUGUAAUAUGCAAAUAAUAAGGGGUGGGGGAAAUUUUUUUUUUUUUUUUUGAGACAGAGUCUCGCUCUGUCACCCAGGCUGGAGUGCAGUGGCGUGAUCUCGGCUCAUUGCAACCUCCGCCUCCUGGGUUCAAGCAAUUCUCCUGCCUCAGCCUCCUGAGUAGCUGGGAUUACAGGCGCCCGCCACCACUCCCAGCUAAUUUUUGUAUUUUUAGUAGGGACGAGGUUUCACCAUGUUGGUCAGGCUGGUCUCAAACUCCUGACCUCGUGAUCUGCCCUCCUUGGCCUUCCAAAGUGCUGGGAUUACAGGCGUGAUGGAGAUGAUACUCCCUAAAUCACAAGGGUGUGGUGUGAAGAUGAAAUGGCUGCACGUGACAGAGGAGUUGGAGAACAGGAAGCAAGUGGAUUACUUGGAUGAACUGUGAUGGGCCCAAGAAGAACUAAGCCAAUCACUCCAGGGGGCGUUUUCCCAGGAUCCAGGCAGAGAGCUGAUUCCAGCAUCCACGUUGUAUCCCCCUCCCGCUGUGGCCGGGGUCUCCAAGAGCCGGGCACCCACUGCAGAGCUUCCAAGCCCAGGCCCAUUUGAACACAGGAGGACUUUUGAGGUUCAUUUAACCCCAAAAUCAGUGAUUCUACAUCUCAAGCUCAUAUUUUGAAGUGUUUACGGGUAAGUCAUAUGAUACUGGUCAUUUAUUUUUUAAAUAUUCUAGCCAAAAGUACAUGGUAGACAAAGUGAGAAUGUCAGAAUGUUGAUAAUUAGUGAAACUAGACGAAGAUACAUGAAAGUUUAAUUUUGAUUCUCACCUACUUUCAUGUGCAUUAGGAAACUUUCAUAAUAAGUUAAAGUAACAAAAUAGGCCAGACUCGGCUGCUCAUGCCUGCAAUCCCAGCACUUUGGGCGGCUAAGGCAGGCGGAUUACUUGAGGUCACGAGUUUGAAACCAGCCUGGCCAACGUGGUGAAACCCCAUCUCCCCUAGAAAAUAAAACAAAAAAAAAAAUUGUAGCUGGGCAUGGUGGCAGGCCCCUGUAAUCCCACCUACUCAGGAGGGUGAGGGAGGAGAAUCGCUUGAGCCUCAGAGGCAGAGGUUGCAGUGAGCCAAGAUUGCGCCAUUGCACUCCAGCCUGGGUGAGAGAGCGAGACUCCAUCUCUGAAUAAAUAAAGUAACAAAAUACAUUUCAGUCUCGAGCUCCAGUUCCCUGCCAGGAAGAGCUGAAGCUGAGCUCUGGCACCCCCUGCUUCUUCUCCCUCAUCCCUAAAACAUGUGGGGUACUGGGUGCCAAAGGAGAUCUGAAGAUGGCCACCACUCAGACCAGCAGUAGAGGCCAAGAAGGUGGUGAGAAAUUUUAAGGUAUUGUAGCAUAUGCUCUCCAGGGUGAGGACACAGGAUGCUGGGACCUAAGGAGGGAGAAGUUAACCCAGAGAGGGCCCAAGUCAGGGAGGACCUGACUGUGGUGACAGAGCCAGUCAUGCUAAUAAUAGGAGCAGUGGUUUUGCAAUCACAAAUAUUGGUCUGGGGGACUGCGGGCCCAAUGUGGUGGGAGUUUUAGAGCAGGGACCCCUCCACUGUACGUGGAUUCUUAUACUUGCUAAGUUGCACUGAAUUCUCAAUCAACCCAUUUGGAGGCUCUCACCAAGACAGGAGUCCCUUUGAAUUGGUAGGAUGUUAAAAGCUUCCUCCAGCCAUUGACCCUGGGUCCCAUUGGUAGAAAUCAGAUAAUAAAUCAGAUUUUCCAGGUAAUCCUCAGUUUAAUGUCCAUUCCCUCAUUCAAUCAAUUAUUCAAUUACAAAUCAUUUUUAAUAUGAUUUUAUGGUUCAGGAAUUCAGGCAGGGCUCAGAUGGGCAGUUCUUCUGCCCCACAUGGCAUUGGCUGAUAACAGGCUACCCCAAGGAAAUCACAGUGUAAUGGGAGAUGGGAAAUAGGUUAACACAAAGUUACUAUACUACAAGAAAAAUCUUCAAAUCUUCAAUCUUCAUUCUUCAUGGGUGUGAGUCUUCUCUGGUGGAGAAGAGAGUUCUUUGCUAAAUUAUAUUCCUGUGUUAGCCAGCCAAGCACACACGGAGUACAGCUGUCCCUUGCUAUUCAUGGCAGAUUGAUCCCAGACACUGCCACCCCCAGCCCUGUGAACACCAAAACCCAUGGAUGCUCAAGUCCUUGAUAUAAAAUGGUAUGGUAUUUGCACAUAACCUACACACAUCUUCCCAUAUACUUUAAAUCAUCACUAGAUUACUUAUAAUACCUAAUGCAAUGUAAAUGCUAUGUAAGUAGUUGCUACGCUGUAUUGCUUAGGGAAUAAUGACAAGAAAAAAAGGCUGUACAACUUCAGUACAAAUGCUAUCAUUCAUUUUUUUAUCUGAAUAUUAUGAUCCAUGAAUACAGAGGGCUGGCUGUAAAAAGAAUGUACAGUUUGGUACUUUACUCCUAGUUUAAGUCAUCUCUUUCGGCCCAUACAGGUUGCCUGGGGCAGGGCGGUGGUGAGUGUGUUGAGUCGGCCCUAUACCCUGUUCCACAAUGCCUGGUGUCCUUGGCACGUAGCUUGCAGGGCUGCUUCCAUGGAUGGCUGCCUCAUCCCCCACCCCUCCUUCAUGGCACCCUCUUUUCUCCAACUCCUUUUCCUCUGCUGAGUCCUACCUUUUCUUGCCAGACCAGGGAUUUGCCAAUUAUUCUGGAUGGGCACAGGGAAGGGGCCCUCAGAUCCUGCAGAGGGAGCAUCUGAAAGACAAUGAGACCCUGUACACAACCAAGCUGAGCCUCCUGUAAGCACAUCCUCUGGGUGUCACUAUGCGAAAAGACUCUUUGUCUGUUUACAUUGCACAACGAAUUGUCCCUCUGAUUGUCCUAGCGUUGGUGCAUGCAUGGAUCCAGGAAGAGCAGGUAUUUGGACCCAACGAGACAGGUUCAUCUUGGCAGUUUGUCUCCUGUGGUUGCUUUGUGCCUGCCCCGUAUCUAUCCACCCAACUUCUGGCAGCAAUCCCUCCAGGACCCACCUCUGUCUUCAUGGUUUGUGUGUUCUGAUCCUGCUCCUUGGCCCCAGAAUACACCCUCCACAUCUAAGCUAUGCAGUGCCUCAUCCCCACAGCUGCAGCGAUUGGUUUAGGAAUGGGAAAAUAAUCCAAUCAAAGUAAGAUUGUCUAAUAUCUGAUCCCGCUUACCCCGGAGCCAGAAGUCCCACCUUUCCAGGCUCCUCCAUGUUCCUUUCUGGAGCAAUGAGGAGGAAGGUUCAUUCCCUUCUCAGGGAACUUGCUGCGGUGUCCCAGUCCUGACUGUCCCCUCUCUACCCCUGCCUGUGGCUCUCCCGUCUCCUGGCAUUCUAACCUGCCACUGAAUUCUUCCCACGCCAAACGCAGGUUAGGAACCUAAGCUCGGAUGAAAUGCUGGCUUAGACCUCAUUGCUACUGAGAAGCAGAAACCACACUUUUUAGUUGGUAGAGGUGGAUGUGGAUUGGGGCCAUAAAGUUUCCUCAAUCAUUGAAUAAGGAUUUCAUUAUUUGGACUAACUAAAUACAUUAGAUUAUUUAUACUAACUAAAUAAAUUAGAUUUAUUUUUCGAAGUUUAAAAUCAUUUUCAAUAGUGACGAAAAAGGCUGUAGAUGAGAUGGGAGAAUCUUUCGACGCCAAAUUCUUCCCAUCUCCUGCCUAGUAUGUAUCACUACACCUUGCCCAGAGAGACUGUAGGGGUGCUCAGCAAAAACCAUGGCUGGUUGAUUCCCUGGAAAAAGGGGUGCUGUCCCAGGGAGCUCUGUGCCCUUCCUGCCAACACUGGGGUCUAGAGGAGGCAAGUUCCCCUCUGAAGGUGAGUAUGAUUCACUCAUUAAAACUAAGAAAUUUACAUUGGUAUGUUACUGUUAACUAACCUACAGACUUUUUUUAGAUUUCACCGUUCUUUACACUCUCGUCCUUUCCAAUUUCCGGGAUCCAAUGCAGGAUACCAGGUUGCAUUUUUGGAUGUGUCCAGUCUGUGAUCAUUUCUCAAUCUUUCCUCAUUUUCUCAUGACUUUUGACAUUUAUUUAUUUAUUUAUUGUGUGAGACUGAGUCUCACUCUGUUGCCUAGGCUGGAGUGCAGUGGCCCCAUCCUGGCUCACUACAAUCUCCACCUCCCGGGUUCAAAUGAUUCUCCUGCCUCAGCCUCCCAAGCAGCUGGGAUUACAGGCGCACACCACCACGCCUGGCUAAUUUGUAUUUUUAGUAGAGAUGGGGUUUCACCAUGUUAGCCAGGCUGGUCUCAAACUCCUGACUUCAGGUGAUCUGCCUGCCUCGGCCUCCCAAAGUGCUAGGAUUACAGGCGCAGGCCACCACGCCCAGCCUGACUUCUGACAUUAGAGUACAGGGAGGGAUUCUGUAGAAUGUCCCUCAAUUUGGGUGUGUCUGGUGUUUUGCCAUGAGACUGGGGUUAUGCUUCUGGGUGCCACACAGAGGUGAAAUGUCCUUCUCAUCACAUUAUUCGAGAGGUACAUGGUACCAAUGGGACUUAUCGCUGCUGAUGUUAACCUUGAUCUCUUGGUUCAGGUGGUGCCUGCCAGCUGUCUCCACUGUGGAGUUACUAUUUUUCCUUUUCCCCAUUUUAUUCAUCAGAAGCCAGUCACUAAGCGAGGUCAAACUCCAGGACAGGGGAAUUAAGUGCCACCUUCUGGAGAGGGAGCAUUCACAUUUAUUACUUGGGAUCCUUCUGUAAGGAAGAGCUGUUUCUCCUCUAAAAAACUCUUUAAUCCUUUUAAGCCUCAAUUUCUUAAUUGUGAAAUGGGGCUAAUACCUGUAUCCAACCAAGGGAGUAGUUAGAAGGUAACAUGAUAGGUGGAAAGCACUUAACAUAGGCAAAAUGUUAUUAUCAGGAAUGAUCGAGAGACCCAUCCAACUAUCUGAAGGAGUCACUUAACUCUACUGUACUGCAGCGCUGUAAAGUCUGCAUCUUUCACUGGGGGUAAAGGCCCCCAGUCCCUGAGACGGGCCAGUUUGGAGACAGGCUGGUUUUUUCUCUGUUCUCCUGAGAGCCCUUCAGAUGAGAAGGGAGGUCUGGAGACAGAAUGCCAAAAGCCCAUUAAAGGCACGGCCUUGCAUUUCAGAGAGGGAGCAGGUCUAGAGAAGAACCAGAGGAGCUCAGCUGAGAUAUGGUGUAUGGAUUGGAUUUUGGUAGAAGAUGGGAAGAACCAAACACCUGAGAAACCACUUUGAAGAUCGGGGUCAGAGUAAGGCCUAACACAUAGUUGGCUCCCAGUAAUUAUUGGUUGAUUGAACAGCUCAAAGAGCAACUCGACCAAGAACACUGGACUGGGAGUCCAGUUACUUGGAUCUUGCAUUCCUGAUUUAUUUUUAUUUUAUAUGUAUUUUUUCUAUUUUUUUGAGACGAAGUCUCACUCACUCUGUCGCCCAGGCUGGACUACAAUGGCACGAUCUCGGCUCACUGCAAACUCUGCCUCCCAGGUUCAAGCGAUUCUCCUGCCUCAGCCUCUCGAGUAGCUAGGAUUACAGGCAUGCACCACCACGCUGGCUAAUUUUUGUAUUUUUAGUAGAGACGGGGUUUUGCCAUGUUGGCCAUGCUGGUGUCCACCUCCUGACCUCAGUUGAUCUUCCUGCCUCAGCCUUCCAAAAUGUUGGGAUUACAGGCGUGAGCCACCGUGCCUGGCCGUGAUUUAUUUUUUUUGUGUAUGUUUGUUUUUGUCAACUUGCUGUGUGACCUUAAGCAAGUUACUUAACUUCUCUGGGCUUCACUUUCCAUGGAUGAACAUUGUAAAGAGGCUGGAGAGAGAUGAGGACUAGGUACAGGCUUUAGAGGAGAGCCACCGCCCCGGACUUCUCCCUCUGUCACCCCGCUUUCCAUGACCCUCCUUGCCUGACUUUGUGACUCCUUGCCUCGCUAUCAAAACAAGUGCUGCAAUCUCAGUGCUUUCCAAGAGCCCUGCAUUGUUAGAAACUUCCCAGCACGCAGCAAAGGCUGCUGCAAUACUCGCUCUGCCUGCCUUUGCCCUGCGCUUCCUACUUACCCUCCUUUUGUUUCUCCCAAACAUCUGUCCCUGACUAUGCUCAUCUCAUGUUUGUCCUCAGCUGCUGAAAGGGCCACGUUUGUUUUCAUUACAAAUAAGACCACCGAGUGGGCUCCUGGCGUGGGGGCGGGACCAGCCGCGCGCAGUCUUCAGAGGCAGCCCCCCAGGCUGUCUCUGGAGGGUGUGUCUCUGCUUCCCUUUCCCCGUGUUUAUUUUCAGACGAAGCCAAGUGGCCCGGGGGGACCCUCCGGACUCCCAGCCUUCAGAGAGGAGGGCAGCUCGGGCUUUCGCCGCAGUGCUUCCUGCCCGUCACGUGUGUGCUCCUAGCCGGGGUCGGGGGAGCUGGUAUCUUGGCCCUUCUGGGAGGACGCGCACAGCCCGAGGAGGCAGAGCCCCAGACGGGAAUGGGCUUUUCAGAGGUGGGGUGCGGGCGAGGGGACGAUGCAUUAUUUUUAAUAUUUGAUUUAUUUUUCCAACUGGACUUCUUCCCGGGGCUCUUUCUGGGCCCAGCUGCCUUUGUGAUCCCGCGCCCCGGUCCUCGGCCUCUCACCUCCAGCGCCGGGGCGCCCCCUGCUGUCGGAAGCGGCUGUGACCGGGCAGAGGUGCUAUCUGGGACUCUGGGUUCUCAGCCCGGGGACAGCGAACCGAGGGGCAGAUGAUCCAUCAGAAAAGAGCCGGCACUGCCCAGCCCCGCGCCCCUGCCCCUGCCUUUUUCCGGGAGCGCGCCGCGCCGCACCCGCUACGGCCGCUUGACCCCAUCUUUGAGCCCGGCCCCAAGCUCUGGGACCGUCGUGCCCCUCAUCAAGGAAGAGCCAAGGACCCCAAGGAGAAGAGAAAGGAGUUCAUGAAGGCAGAAAUGCCUGGGGCCCACGAACAUCCCAGUGUGGCCCUGGACGGGACAUCAUGCUGGGCAACACAGCUAAAAUGCGGGUGAAGACCAGAUUUCUUGCACAUGGCGGUGACGGGAUGCUCCCUAGAGAGCUUCAAGUGGAUUCUUUGCUUUUUAUUUUCUCUCUUAAUAAAAAUGUAUGAUGUUUACAUUGUCAGAGAACAAACAGAACU
rnacentral:lncRNA from 1 species